CAAAAUGGGAGGUAAAUUUCUCCUAAGGCUAAAUAUUGGCGAGAGACCGAUAGCGAACAAGUACCGUGAGGGAAAGAUGAAAAGAACUUUGAAAAGAGAGUUAAACAGUACGUGAAAUUGUUGAAAGGGAAACGAUUGAAGUCAGUCAUACCAACGGGAAAUCAACCUUUUGAGCUUGGUCUCGUGGGUUUUGAAGAGUUUCAAAGCCUUCGGAUUCGCGGGAUUGGGAUCUCUUGGUGUACUUUUUCGUACGGUUAGUCAACAUCGGUUUUGAAUGUCAUAAAAUGACUGGAGGAAUGUAGCUUCGAUCUCGUAUUGAAGUGUUAUAGCCUUUGGUAGAUGUGAUGUUUGAGACCGAGGAUUGCAACGGAUACCCUUCAGGGCUAUUCGUCUGAUCUCUGAUACGUUGCCUUGAUGUUGAAAGCUUGCUUAUGAUGUUAGGGUAUUACGGUCAAAAGGUUAGAACGAAUUACA
rnacentral:rRNA from 1 species